UCUCCCUGACGUCUGUCUCUCUCAAAGAUAUACUGGUAUCCACGGUAACCUGGAAACUGGUAGCCCACCCAGCUGCAGCCUACUGAAACAAAUGGAGGAUGACUUACGCUCCAGAGUUGACUUUCAUAGAAGGAACCUCCUUACUGCACCAGCCCAUGCCUUGAAGAGAGGGGUAGUCAUCGCACAUCUCAAACUUGCGUCCCAUCAUGUCCUCACACUCAUACAGGUUGACCAUCCAUCCAUGAUGUGCUAUCCUCUCAGAGGUUCAGGAACAU